rnacentral:rRNA from 1 species
AACGAACGCUGGCGGCAUGCCUAACACAUGCAAGUCGAACGAGACCUUCGGGUCUAGUGGCGCACGGGUGCGUAACGCGUGGGAACCUGCCCUUAGGUUCGGAAUAACUCCCCGAAAGGGGUGCUAAUACCGGAUAAUGUCUUCGGACCAAAGAUUUAUCGCCUUUGGAUGGGCCCGCGUUGGAUUAGCUAGUUGGUAGGGUAAAAGCCUACCAAGGCGACGAUCCAUAGCUGGUCUGAGAGGAUGAUCAGCCACACUGGGACUGAGACACGGCCCAGACCCCCGCGGGAGGAUGCGGGGGGGAAUUUAGAAAAUGGGGAAAAGUCUUAACCAAGCAAUGCGGGGUGGGAGAUGAGGGCCUGGGGUUUAAAAGGUUUUUUUCCCCGGAGUAAUAAUAACAGCACGGGAAAAAAAAGCCCCGCCUACCUCCGUG